CUUCGGUGAUGAUCUGAUGACGAGUCAGAAAUGGACACCCUCCUGCUCAGAGUAAACCACUCAGUGCCACGUUCUGUGGCGCUGUGCCAGGGUGCUCAGGCAGAGGUGUCCUGUGCCAUGGAUGAUCUAGAGGCAUUUGUCUGAGAAGG